rnacentral:rRNA from 1 species
GAUGAACGCUAGCGGCAGGCUUAAUACAUGCAAGUCGAGGGGUAGCAUGAUUGUAGCAAUACAAUUGAUGGCGACCGGCAAACGGGUGCGGAACACGUACACAACCUCCCAAUAAGUGGGGAAUAGCCCAGAGAAAUUUGGAUUAAUACCCCGUAACAUAACGAUGUGGCAUCACAUUGUUAUUAUAGAUUUUUCGCUUAUUGAUGGGUGUGCGGCUGAUUAGAUAGUGGGCGGGGUAACGGCUCACCAAGUCUACGAUCAGGGGCUGAGGUGAGCGCAUGCUCAACCACACGGGCACUGAGACACGGGCCCGACGCCUACGGGAGGCAGCAGUAAGGAAUAUUGGACAAUGGACGCAAGUCUGAUCCAGCCAUGCCGCGUGAAGGAUUAAGGUCCUCUGGAUUGUAAACUUCUUUUAUAAGGGACGAAAAAAGGCUUUUCUAAGUCGUCUGACGGUACCUUAUGAAUAAGCACCGGCUAACUCCGUGCCAGCCGCCGCAGUAAUAC